UACGUAGGGACCAAGCGUUGUUCGGAUUUACUGGGCGUAAAGGGCGCGUAGGCGGCAAUUCAAGUCAGUUGUGAAAUCUCCGAGCUUAACUCGGAACGGUCAACUGAUACUGUUUUGCUAGAGUACAGAAGGGGCAAUCGGAAUUCUUGGUGUAGCGGUGAAAUGCGCAGAUAAUCAGGAGGAACACCGGUGGCGAAGGCGGUUCUCUGGGCAUUACCUGACGCUGAGGAGCGAAAGUGUGGGGAGCGAACAGG
rnacentral:rRNA from 1 species